rnacentral:rRNA from 1 species
UAACAAGGUCUCCGUUGGUGAACCAGCGGAGUGGAUCAUUACAGAGUUAUACAACUCCCAUACCAUCUGUCAACCUACCCAGCUAUGCCUCGGCGUAAGCUCGGCCGGGGGCGGUCCGGCGCUACCCUGUAGCGGCGGCCGCGCCACCUCGGACGCGCCCGACGGCGGUACACUAAACUAUGUUUUACUUUACCUUCUGAGCGUACUUAUAUUAAUAAGUUAAAACUUUCAACAACGGAUCUCUAGGUUACUGGCAUCGAUGAAGAACGCAGCGAAAUGCGAUAAGUAAUGUGACAUAGCAGAAAUCAGUGAAUCAUCGAAUCUAUGAACGCACAUUGCGCCCAUCAGUAAUCUGGUGGGCAUGCCUGUUCGAGCGUCAUUUCAACCCCUUAAGCACUAGCUUAGUGUUGGGACUCUACUGUACUGUAAGUUCCCCAAAGACAGUGGCGGAGCGGCAGUGGACUCUGAGCGAAGUAAUUCCUUUCUCGCUCCUGUCAGGCCCUGUACUCCCGCCGUAAUACCCCCAUCUUUUAGUGGUUGACCUCGGAUCAGGUAGGAAUACCCGCUGAUACUUAAGCAUAUCAAUAAGCGGAGGAAAAGAAACCAACAGGGAUUCCCCUAGUAACGGCGAGUGAAGCGGGUACAGCUCAAAUUUGAUAUCUGGCCCUUGGGUCCGAGUUGUAUUUGCA